rnacentral:lncRNA from 1 species
GGCAACGCAAGUUCUGACAGUUGGCUCUUGGGUAGCUAGCUAGCAGAGUUGUUUACUUGCGACGUUUAAUUUUCUCUGGCUAAAUUAGCCCAGCAUAGUUAUUCAAUUCAGUUAUCUAGGUUGCCAUACACGAGGUGUUAUCCAUGGGCAGCCUUGCCAGUGAGGUUUUGGAUGAGGCCCACUGUUUCUGGGCGACGUGCGCUCAUCCUUGCUGCUGGGAGUCGGAGCAGCGCAUUGCCAAAGGCGUCCCACACUACAUAAAGCAAAGAACAUCAGAUGGGGGCAGAGCCCCUGUAGAUGUGGAAGAGUUUCCAACCCUUAGUGUGGUUAAUGUAUCGGAGUCGACUGAGGGCCAAAAGACCCCUAAAGUGAAGCUGCUUUACAAGACGCUUAGCAAGAAGAAUUUUGCCACAGAUGCCUCUCUAACUCUUCUCUCCAGCCAGACACAAGCCCACCAGCGGGAGCAUAACACAAGGCCUAAAUCUCCCUAUGUACCUGUCAAGGAGCUCAUUUGCCUUCCGUCCUUAAAAACCUCAAAAAUUAACAGAAAUCCAAGAAUUCAAGUCCAAGAGUCCAAGAAUGUGCGGAAGAGGGUGCCGUUCCAGCUGACAACAUUGACGUCAAAGCCGAAAAGUGAGCAUGGGUUGAGCUCCCCAGUGGCACAGCAAACUGUCCACCCAACAGACCUUGCCCUGGCCAAACCUGACACAGACACUGACCCCAACAGGGAGGAGGAGGAGGCCCAGACCCAGGCUCAUACCAGCCCACACCCUCCCCCAGCACCUAGGAUCCCCAGUGCUUUCCUCCUCAGGAACAAGCCUGUGGUGUUCCACAGUGUCAGGGAGAGGGUACUGAGAAGACACACCCAGCAGGACCUCUCAACGUACAAGUACAAACUGGACAGCAAGAAUGGUGGGGGUGGCAUUGACUGGGAUAGUCUGAGAAGACAGACCUAUCUGUGGAGGAAGCACAACCUUCCACCCAACUGUGACAGAGAGAAGCCAUUUCCCCCAGAGGACAUGACUGUCAGCCAGAAAGGCUUUGGUUUCUACCCCAUCCCAAAGGCCAUGCUCCAUCACGACCCAAGGAGCCCUCUGUCCAAAGGUCCAGCUGUGUGGCGCUGCCUGGAAUGUGUGGAUGGGAUGUGGUGUGGCCAUGGUGGUGGUCCACUAGCCUCCAUAUCCAAGUGCCUUAACUCAUUGGUGUCAAAGAGUUCCUUCAAGUUCUGUAGCAGAUCCAACCUCAGCUGUCAAAACCCCUUGCACCAACUCCUAGAUGGAGAUUACCUAAGUGAUGUGAAUCCAGGCAACAAGGGCACCAUCGCUCCUCAGAACUCCAUGAUGCACCUUCAGGACACAGCUUCACACUACAGUGACUGUCAAGGAGAGGAUAAUGAAUUUGGCUUAUGCUCAGAGAGAGAUGCUGAAGGAGGUCUAGGAGCCCUAGAGAGGCCGGGUAGGAGCUCUUAGGACAAAGGGCACAGGCCUUCAGGGUCCCAGCCAUCCCCUCCACCAUCUAUCGUCAACUCCGAUACCUGUGGAGAUGGUUAAACUUGAAUAUGACGAGACAGACACUGAACGAUCCAGGACUAAGAUCCAGGAGUAAAUGUACUCAUCAUGCCUGUGAACAUUCACAUAUUUCAUCCAGAGCUAUCCUUAUGCUUUAGAUAAAUACAUCUGGUAGCUUGCUUUUUUUUCAUGUCAAGUAUAGCCUAACAUGGUAAUGUAACAAUAUACUCUAAGUGUACAAAACAUUAAGGACACUUGCUCUUUCCAUGUCAUAGACUGGCCAGGUGAAUCCAGGUCAAAGCUAUGAUUCCUUAUUGAUGUCACUUGUUAAAUCCACUUCAAUCAGUGUAGAUGAAAUGGGAGGAGACAGGUUAAAGAAUGAUUGUUAAGCCUUGAGACAAUAUAGAAAUGGAUUGUGUAUGUGUGCCAUUCAGAUGGUGAAUGGGCAAGAUAAAAGAUUUAAGUGCCUUUGAACAGGGUAUGGUAGUAGGUGCUAGGCACAGCGGUUUGUGUCAAGAACUCAACAGUUUUGUGUAUCAAGAAUGGUCCACCACCCAAAGGACAUCCAGCCAACUUGACACAACUGUGGGAAGCAUUGGAGUCAAUAUGGGCCAGCAUCCCUGUGAAACGCUUUCGACACGUUGUAAAGUCCAUGCCCCGACGAAGUGAGGCUGUUCUGAGGGCAAAAGCGGGGGUGUAACUCAAUAUUAGGAAGGUGUCCUUAAUUUAAUGUUUUGUCCACUCAGUGUAUGUUAACUUACAUGAUUUAUACUGCC